CCCCUAGAUGUUCUGGGCCGCACGCGCGCUACACUGAACAGUUCAACAAGUCUUAACCUUGGCCGAUGGGUCUGGGUAAUCUUUGAACGCUGUUCGUGAUUGGGAUAGACCUUUGCAAUUAUGGGUCUUCAACGAGGAAUUCCUAGUAAACGCAAGUCAUCAGCUUGCAUUGAUUACGUCCCUGCCCUUUGUACACACCGCCCGUCGCACCUACCGAUUGAAUGGUCCGGUGAAAUCUCGGGACGGCGGCUUGGUCGCUUGCGUCCGACUGCUGAAACUUGAUUAAACCAUAUCAUUUAGAGGAAGGUGAANUCGUAACA
rnacentral:rRNA from 1 species